rnacentral:rRNA from 1 species
UAAAAGUCGUAACAAGGUCUCCGUAGGUGAACCUGCGGAGGGAUCAUUACCGAGUUCAUGCCCUUACGGGUAGACCUCCCACCCUAUGUUAUAUUACCUUUGUUGCUUUGGCGGGCCGCCCGGCUUCGGCCAGGCUACCGGCUCCAGCUGGUAAGCGCUCGCCAGAGGACCCUCAACUCUGAAUAUCAGUGUCGUCUGAGUACUAUAAAAUAGUUAAAACUUUCAACAACGGAUCUCUUGGUUCUGGCAUCGAUGAAGAACGCAGCGAAAUGCGAUAAGUAAUGUGAAUUGCAGAAUUCAGUGAAUCAUCGAAUCUUUGAACGCACAUUGCGCCCCUUGGUAUUCCGAGGGGCAUGCCUGUUCGAGCGUCAUUACAACCCUCAAGCACUGCUUGGUAUUGGGCUCCGCUGGCUCCAGCGGGCCUUAAAAUCAGUGGCGGCGCCGUUUGGGCUCUGAGCGUAGUAAAUAUCCUCGCUAUAGAGACCAGGCGGUUCUUGUCAUCAACCCCCAACUUUCUAAGUUUGACCUCGGAUCAGGUAGGGAUACCCGCUGAACUUAAGCAUAUCAAUAAGCGGAGG